AGCUUUGCCCAGUGGCAGUAUUGUAGCCAAUGAGGUUUAUCUGAGGCACAAUUAUUGCUAAUUGAAACAAAUAUUUAUUGAGUGGGUCAGGUAUUAUACCAGAUUCUGGGAGUAGGAAAUAUUA
ensembl:snRNA U4 U4 spliceosomal RNA